GAUGAAGAACGUAGCGAAAUGCGAUACGUAGUGUGAAUUGCAGAAUUCAGUGAAUCAUCGAAUCUUUGAACGCACAUUGCGCCCCUUGGUAUUCCAUGGGGCAUGCCUGUUCGAGCGUCAUUUGUACCUUCAAGCUUUGCUUGGUGUUGGGUGUUUGUCCCGAGGGACUCGCCUUAAAGUAAUUGGCAGCCAGUGUUUGGUUUUGAAGCGCAGCACAAGUCGCGAUUCAAGGCUACACGCCCGCUUCCACAAGCCUUUUUUCACUUUUGACCUCGGAUCAGGUAGGGAUACCCGCUGAACUUAAGCAUAUCAAUAAGCGGAGGA
rnacentral:misc_RNA from 1 species